rnacentral:rRNA from 1 species
AACGAACGCUGGCGGCGUGCCUAACACAUGCAAGUCGAGCGAGAAAGCCCGCAAGGGUGAGUAAAGCGGCGCACGGGUGCGUAACACGUGGGUAAUCUGCCCUAGAGUCUGGAAUAACUCGCCGAAAGGCGUGCUAAUGCCGGAUGAGACCACGGGAGCUUCGGCUCCUGCGGGAAAAGGUGGCCUCUGUAUACAAGCUAUCGCUCUAGGAUGAGCCCGCGGCCCAUCAGCUAGUUGGCGGGGUAAUGGCCCACCAAGGCAACGACGGGUAGCUGGUCUGAGAGGACGAUCAGCCACACUGGAACUGAGACACGGUCCAGACUCCUACGGGAGGCAGCAGUGGGGAAUCUUGCGCAAUGGGCGAAUGCCUGACGCAGCAACACCGCGUGUGUGAUGAAGGUCUUCGGAUCGUAAAGCACUGUCGCGAGGGACGAAUAAGGGUCGGGUGAACAAUCCGAUCCGAUGACGGUACCUCGAGAGGAAGCACCGGCUAACUCUGUGCCAGCCGCCGCCGUAAAAC